GGAUGGAGAGAUCUGCAUAGCUCUCCUGAUGCCUGAGACUCAGAGGAAAGAAAAGGUUCAAAGCAUUGGAUUGUCUGGUUUCCUCUGCUUGAAAUUAUGAGAUCGAUUCACACUGUUGCAGAGAAAUAAAGCCCAAGCUUCCUGCUGCCAGCCUCCAAGCUAGUUCCAAAUGGCCAGGAUGAAGCAGUCAGAGGCCUCCUUGGAUCCGGCUAAGAGAGCAGAGAUGGAAGCCUUUUUGUGACCAUGAGGGGAGCUGUCAGCUGGCUGAGGGUGCAGAGCAGAAAGAUGGAAAGAACUUAGAAUCUUGAUGGCCUUUUUGUGUGACUGAAUUGAC